GCCUGGCUAGCGUAAUGGUUAACGCGUCUGACUUCUAACAACUGUUAAGUGUUAAGUCAUCAGAAGAUUGUGGGUUCGACUCCCACGUCGGGUG
rfam:Ascoidea rubescens DSM 1968 unplaced genomic scaffold ASCRTscaffold_3, whole genome shotgun sequence.